rnacentral:tRNA from 2 species
UUGAUAGAAACCAAAAAGAGGUAUAUCAUUGUUAAUGAUAAUAUUGAAAUAAUUUCCUAUCAAG